rnacentral:rRNA from 1 species
AUACGAAGGGGGCUAGCGUUGUUCGGAAUCACUGGGCGUAAAGCGCACGUAGGCGGAUUGUUAAGUCGGGGGUGAAAUCCCGAGGCUCAACCUCGGAACUGCCUUCGAUACUGGCAAUCUUCGAGUCCGGAAGAGGUGAGUGGAACUCCGAGUGUAGAGGUGAAAUUCGUAGAUAUUCGGAAGAACACCAGUGGCGAAGGCGGCUCACUGGUCCGGUACUGACGCUGAGGUGCGAAAGCGUGGGGAGC